GACGAACGCUGGCGGCGUGCUUAACACAUGCAAGUCGAACGAGGUCCACGGAGUAGCAAUACUCCGGAAGACCUAGUGGCGAACGGGUGCGUAACACGUGAGGAACUUACCCCGGUCUCUGGGAUAACAGUUGGAAACGACUGCUAAUACCGGAUGACGUCGGAGCGUCGCAUGGCGCGCUGACGAAAGGGUCACCGGAUCGGGAGAGCCUUGCGGCCUAUCAGCUUGUUGGCGGGGUAACGGCCUACCAAGGCAUCGACGGGUAGCUGGUCUGAGAGUAUGUGCAGCCACACUGGGACUGGGACACGGCCCAGACUCCUGCGGGAGGCAGCAGUGGGGAAUCUUGCGAAAUGGGCGAAAGCCUGACGCAGCAACGCCGCGUGCGGGAAGAAGGCUCUCGGGUUGUAAACCGCUUUCAGCAGGAACGAAAGUGACGGUACCUGCAGAAGAAGGUGCGGCCAACUACGUGCCAGCAGCCGCCGUAAUAC
rnacentral:rRNA from 1 species